rnacentral:rRNA from 1 species
UCGAGAAUUUUUCUCAAUGGGCGAAAGCCUGAAGGAGCGACGCCGCGUGGGGGAUGAAGGGUUUCGAUCCGUAAACCCCUGUCAUUUGCGAACAAUGGGCGCCUGUUAACAGCGGGUGUCUUGAUAGUAGCGGAAGAGGAAGGGACGGCUAACUCUGUGCCAGCAGCCGCGGUAAUACAGAGGUCCCAAGCGUUGUUCGGAUUCACUGGGCGUAAAGGGUGCGUAGGUGGCUUUGUAAGUUUGAUGUGAAAUCUCCGGGCUUAACCCGGAAAAUGCAUUGAAUACUACAGGGCUGGAGGUUUGGAGGGGGGACUGGAAUUCUCGGUGUAGCAGUGAAAUGCGUAGAUAUCGAGAGGAACACCAGUGGCGAAGGCGAGUCCCUGGACAACACCUGACACUGAGGCACGAAAGCUAGGGGAGCAAACAG